rnacentral:lncRNA from 1 species
AGGUAUGGAGUUUUGAAACUAAUUCAUAUUUAGAUAUGAUCUAAUUAUAUAUGGAUAUGAUCUAUACUUACUGAAUUUUAGAUUUCAUAUUUACAUACAUGUAUAUUAGUUUAUGUCAUAGUUCUUGUAUGGUAGUUUUAGAUUUGAUCCAUGCAUGUAUUAUAGAUUAAAUUAUUUAAUCUAUAUAUAUUCUGCUGUAAAAUUUAAAAAAUGCAUGCAUAAAACCACCAUGCUUCUCUUCAACCAAUGGU